rnacentral:lncRNA from 1 species
CCACUGUCUAUCACAUGGUGGCAUGGUAGCUUGAUAAAUGUCAGACUCUGAUGUCUGACGUCAAGCCUGGUCAUGAGGCUCAGGUACAAGGGAGGCACCCAGUGGUUGUUCUCAAGUAUCUCCUUCCACAUUUUGACUUAUAAACUGUAGGGCCCCCGUGAGGCAUCUGACCAAAAGGAAAAAGAAAAAAAAAAUCAGACAUGUAACCUGUAAUCUAUUUGCUGUGACAUCUAUCCUUCUAGAACUUUCUGGAAUUCUAAACAAUGACAUCACAGCUUUCUUUACAAAAAACCAAACAACCCCCUUCCAUACCUCCUAACUGUAGGGUAGGAGUCAGGGCACUCCCAGGACUAGGAGUGCAGGACAGGACACAUUCACAGGCUUGGACUCAACUGGAGCAUUCAACGGACUAGAACAUGCCACAGGGCCACAGGACACCAGACCAGAGGAGGAAUGGCAGAAGCCCUACAGCCAGUUGCCAGGCAGGAGGGGGGUGUUGCUCUCACAUCGCAGCAGCCACGGCCAUUCCCCAGCACACGAAGCACACUCAAAUAGUCUGCUCAGCAACUUUCUUCUGGACUUCUUCUAAAUUGAGCGGAGAUGGUACAUGGCGAGGACCAGGAGGCCCUGGGGGACCUGCGGAGCCUGUGGGGCCAGGUGGGGCUGGAGCUGGGGAGUCAGCUGGGAUGUCUGAUGCAGCUGGUGGGGUCACCACCUGUUCCCUUGGAGUCAACUCUGGAGUAACAUGUUCCGGGGAUGCAUCAGAAAAAUGGACCCACUUCUCUUCAGUAUUAACAGCAACAGACUUGGGCGACAACACUGGCCCAAAAAUGCUGUCCAGGUCACUGAUGGAUGGUAGUUUCUCAAUUUUGGCCUCUGUGGCUGCCUGGUCAUUUCCUGUGGUUAAAGUAGUUGAUUUUAAAUUUUAUUAACUCUUACUAUUAUCUGUAUAGGGGCUAGAAGGAGGGAGGAGGCAAAACUUACAUAUAGCACCUUGUAAGGUGCCUCAGAUUUUACACCUUCAUGGUGUAAAAAUACCCUUAUUGACUUAAGCACUGAAAGGUGAAAGGUAGGUGGACGCUCAAUUCAAUACAUGAGCGUCCUAUUCCUGGGCCACUGUCCCCUCCUUUGUAAGGUGACUGUGGCUGACCACCUCCCUAUUAUUAAAA